GACGAACGCUGGCGGCGUGCUUAACACAUGCAAGUCGAGCGAUGAAGCUACUUCGGUAGUGAAUUAGCGGCGAACGGGUGAGGAACACGUGAGGAAUCUGCCUUCAACACUGGGAUAACUCCGGGAAACCGGGGCUAAUACCGGAUACGAGCUCUGACCGCAUGGUCGGGGCUGGAAAGUUUUUCGGUUGAAGAUGACCUCGCGGCCUAUCAGCUUGUUGGUGAGGUAAUGGCUCACCAAGGCGACGACGGGUAGCCGGCCUGAGAGGGCGACCGGCCACACAGGGACUGAGACACGGCCCAGACUCGCACGGGAGGCAGCAGUGGGGAAUAUUGGGCAAUGGAGGAAACUCUGACCCAGCGACGCCGCGUGCGGGAUGAAGGCCUUCGGGUUGUAAACCGCUUUCAGUAGGGAAGAAGCGAAAGUGACGGUACCUACAGAGGAAGCACCGGCUAACUAUGUGCCAGCCGCCGCGGUAA
rnacentral:rRNA from 1 species